UACGUAGGUGGCGAGCGUUGUCCUGAUUUACUGGGCGUAAAGAGCGCGCAGGCGGCUGGUCAAGUCCGAUGUGAAAGCUCCCGGCUUAACUGGGAAAUUGCAUCGGAAACUGAUCGGCUGGAAGGUGGGAGAGGGUAGCGGGAUUCCCGGUGUAGUGGUGAAAUGCGUAGAUAUCGGGAGGAACACCAGUGGCGAAAGCGGCUACCUGGCCCAUUCUUGACGCUGAGGCGCGAAAGCUAGGGGAGCAAACGGG
rnacentral:rRNA from 1 species